UGGGGAAUCUUGCGCAAUGGACGAAAGUCUGACGCAGCGACGCCGCGUGGGCGAUGAAGGCCUUCGGGUUGUAAAGCCCUGUGGGGAGAGACGAAGGGCCUGAAGUCGAAUAGGCUUUGGGAAUGACGGUAUCUCCUUAGCAAGCACCGGCUAACUCUGUGCCAGCAGCCGCGGUAAUACAGAGGGUGCAAACGUUGCUCGGAAUUACUGGGCGUAAAGCGCGUGUAGGCUGCUUUGCAAGUCGGGUGUG
rnacentral:rRNA from 1 species